rnacentral:RNase_MRP_RNA from 1 species
UUGCCAGGAGCAAACUCCUCGUUUGUGCGCUGCAAAGUCGUGCUUCCCCUGCCUUCUGAAGCACAUGCUGAUGCCCAUUACCACCUGCAAUGAAGAUGCUCUUACACCAAAGACUUCUGAAAAAUUGACUGGACAACAUGGCUCAACUAAACACAAAAGAAUUCAAAACCAACAUUCUCGUUGUCAGACUGGAGUUCCACACACCCACCGGCCGGCAGCA